GAUGAACGCUAGCGGCAGGCUUAAUACAUGCAAGUCGAGGGACAGCACAGGUAGCAAUACUGGGUGGUAACCGGCAAACGGGUGCGGAACACGUACACAACCUUCCUUUAAGUGGGGGAUGGCCCAGAGAAAUUUGGAUUAAUACCCCGCAACAUAGUUGAAUGGCAUCAUUUGAUUAUUAUAGCUACGGCGCUUAAUGAUGGGUGUGCGGCUGAUUAGAUAGUUGGCGGGGUAACGGCCCACCAAGUCUACGAUCAGUAGCUGAUGUGAGAGCAUGAUCAGCCACACGGGCACUGAGACACGGGCCCGACUCCUACGGGAGGCAGCAGUAAGGAAUAUUGGUCAAUGGACGCAAGUCUGAACCAGCCAUGCCGCGUGAAGGAUUAAGGUCCUCUGGAUUGUAAACUUCUUUUAUUUGGGACGAAAAAGGGCCUUUCUAGGUCAACUGACGGUACCAGAUGAAUAAGCACCGGCUAACUCCGUGCCAGCCGCCGCAGUAAUAC
rnacentral:rRNA from 1 species